ACCAACCAGCGCUGGACUCUGCGUGCUACAAUAUCGACCUGCCAGGGAAGCUGUCUCCACAGGAGUGGCAGAAGCAGGAAGGUUAUGGGGGUGACCAGCGGCUUUCUGAUCAGGUCUGAGGUCUGCUCCCCAGGCACAUGCCUGACACUGUAAAUCCUGGGUGAAACCCGUGGCUGGGGAGCACCAGAGAGAAGGGACAGGAGAGGAAGGAAAGAUGUCCUUCAUCCUUGCGGCUGACUGUGACUUCGUGGUCAACCGCACUCUGGCAUUGAUAAGCCUCCUUUGUAUUUUCAGCCGAGCGCGGUACUACAGAAACGCUUCCACAGGGCCAGCAAGGUGGCUCAGCAGACGGAGCCUCUCCUCCUCGUGAGUCUAUUUGCACUCCUGAGCGUGCAAAGCUUUGAAAUGAGAAUGUCCCUGAUGACAGAACUUCAUGGAAGAUGGGGGAGAAAGAAUGCAAGAGCCAGGGGCAGCUCUCCAAGCCUGUGAUGCCAUCGUUGGAAGGAGCAGCCGGUGGCAGGGUGAAGCAUAGGCUGUGAGCAUAAGGGAAUACUAUACUGCACUCAAGAAGAAUGAGGAAGGGCUCCCCGAAAUGCCCCUGGGGGUGUUUAGAAUAGAUUGGCAAGAGCUUAACACAGGCUUCACAAGGUAUGUGUCACCCACAGGGCCUGGGAUCAAAGUGCCAGAUUUCAGGCUCUUUCCAAUUUGGGGACAUUUGCAUGGACUUGGCAGUGGUUAUUUUUAGAUGAAGGAUGCAUGGCCUACCUCCUGUUUACUGUUUGUUCAAGAAA